GAGAAAGUCUGCAGAUGCUGGAAGUUCAGAGCAACACACACAAGAUGCUGGAGGGACUCAGCGGGUCAGACAGCACCUACGGGAAAGGGGGGCCCAGAUUCGGUCAAUGAGGCUCGUUAGUGUUGAGACACUACACAAACGUACCUUGUUAUGGUUAAGGUGGAGAUAAAUUCUGUGUCACGGGCAGAGCACCUCUACAACCCACACUCAAAUCUCAUCUCAUUGAUUGGAGCACCUGAUUCCAAGUAGCUUUUGUAGAAGGCUUUACCUCAGAGGUUCACAUACUUUUCCCAAGAAAUACAUGUAAUAUUGGAUCAUUUUUUUAAAUAAAUAAAUGAACAAGUAUGAUUUUUGUGUUAUUUAUUUAAUUGGGUUCUCUUUAUCUAGUUUUAGGACUUAGGUGAAGAUCUGAUCACGUUUUAGAUCAUAUUUAAGCAGAAACAGAGGAUAUUUAUAGGAUUCACAAACUUUCUAGCACCACUGUAGUGACGGAGCCGAGGAGGUGGUAGGUGGAGUUGAAAGGGUUGCAGAUGAUGGAAUUGGAGAGGAGAAGAAGGUGAAUCAUGGAACAAAAUAAGUGAGGUGGGGAGGGAAGAUGGGAAUAGUGGGACAAGGGGAACGAGUGGGUGGAGUAUGUGGGCGAUGGGCAGUUGGAGUGAGUGGAGGAGGGGAAAGAAACAGAGUGAUAUGGGGAGUGGGAUGGGUGUAGGAAGAUCUGGGUAGAUCACAAGGAGAGAGGAAAGAGACAGAGAGGAGUAGGUUACCUGAAACUGAGCAGCUGAAUGUUCCUGCCAUUGGUUUGUAGACUACCCAGGCAGAAUAAAAAAUGUGUGUUCAGCUGUCAUAUUACUGUGUAUCAGCACGGUCUGCUCACUGACGGUCAUAGC